AGUUACAAACUGUGUUUCAUGGCGUUUUAAUAUGUCAGCAUUUCACCGGGAGCGAAUAAAGGAGGAGAAACUGCAGGAACACAGGGAGUGUCUGAGGAUAAUGCUCCAGGAAGAGAGAGACCAGCUGGAGGCUGAGCUCAGAAAUGUUCAUCCAGACAGAGCCACACUGACCAGACAGCUGCUGGAAAACACAGAUGCUCUUCAGUCUGCCAGAGAAGAGAGGAGGAAAAAUUUUGACUUGCACAGGAGCUGCUGAGGGAAAAGUGGAACUGCGGAAGGUGGAGCAGAGGCGCAGGGAACAGUGGGAGGAGCAGAGAUGACAAGAGCAAGCAGAACUACAAGAGAGGGAGGAGCUUAGACAUCAGGAGGAGGAGCUUCAUUUUGAGACAGAGAGACUGAUUCGACACAGGGCUACAGCAGAGAAUUUACAGCAGGCCUCGGUCAGCAUGGACAUGAGAGCGAUUCACAGGAAGAGUCUUUGUGCCACAUCCCCUUUUCAGUUUUUCAUUCAGAAUCGGGGAUAUCUAUGUCCACAUUGAUCCCAGCCACUUUGUGUUUAAAUGAGAACCAGGUUCCCCGUCAGAGAUGCUUUGUAUAUAUGUUAAUGAUUUACAUUAUGGCUAUGCUAGAUGAUUGUAUAGUUAAGUUCUCGAUCUUGAAUUUCCAUUGCACUAGUGCUGAGGUUUGCAUAUAGGUCUGGUUUUAUAUGACUGAUUUAUAUGGAUGAAUUUCAAUGCUGACGCCUUUUUUAAUAUAA